UUUCUCAAAAUUUGCUGCGGGCUCCGUGUUUCAAAAUACUGCAAUUCAAAAUACUCCAAAAUAUCUCAAAAUUUUAGAACUCAUUUCCUCGCGCUCAACUCCAACUCUCCAAACAUCUCCCAAUUUUUUGCCGUCGCCGUCGAACUCCAACCCUUGUUCGGCCCUGCGUCGCCGUCGAAAUCCGCCCUUGCUCGGCCCUGCGUCGCUGUCCUCUCCGGUGGAUGUCUGUUCUCGCCUCAUCUCCCCCGUCGCUGUCCUCUCCGAUGGGUGGCUUUUCAAUUGCUGAAAACUCGGUCAGCUUGGUCGGCCGGGGGUUCAGCGUCCCCCCGUCGCGUCCUGGUUCCGGUGCUUGCUCGGCCGUUACUCUCCUCGCCACAACCAGUUUACAAAGCCAGCAGUGGCCUCAAGAUUGCUGUUGAACUUUGUGGUGAGCUAAAACUGAUUAAUUGUGCAUAAUAAUUUCUAGUAGCAGUAAUUGAACUAUUUUGGUCGCUGAUCUCAAAAGAGGUUAAGGCUAAUCACCCAAAGAUUAUCAGCUUGCUGGGGUUGUUGCGGUUGAAGUCACAGGAGGGCCAACCAUCGACUUUGUUCCAGGAAGAAUGGAUUGCGCAGAUUCUCCUGAUGAAGGACGCCUUCCUGAUGCAAAUCAAGGUGCCGGACAUUUGAGAGAAAUCUUUUACAGAAUGGGGCUUUCUGACAAGGAUAUUGUCGCGCUUUCAGGAGGCCACACUCUGGUAAACUACAUACCUUAGCUUGGACAAGAUUACAACAAUGCUAGGACUAACCUAAACUAGUCAUACAUGACUUGUGUGCUACCUUCGCCGAGUAUAGUCGUCGUAUACUCUAGAGCUGCUGAAAUUUUGCCCCACUCACAGUGGAACAAUUACAUGAGAUGAACUUUGAAGGAUUUUAAAAGAUAUAUACUUCAUAUAUAAUGUGAGAUUUAGAUUUCAAGUAGACCUUAAAUCGCCCUGUGAUUAGAUUUUUACGCAAUUUUUGCCCCUCCUGUUUAAUUUU